rnacentral:rRNA from 1 species
UACGUAGGGUGCGAGCGUUAAUCGGAAUUACUGGGCGUAAAGCGUGCGCAGGCGGCUUGCCAAGUCAGAUGUGAAAGCCCCCGGGCUCAACCCGGGGAACUGCGUUUGAAACUGGCAGGCUAGAGUUUGGCAGAGGGGGGGUGGAAUUCCACGUGUAGCAGUGAAAUGCGUAGAGAUGUGGAGGAACACCGAUGGCGAAGGCAGCCCCCCUGGGCCAAAACUGACGCUCAGGCACGAAAGCGUGGGGAGCAAACAGG